CCACCAAUCCGAUUUGGGCCCGAUUGCCAUCCCUAAGUGCAGCCCAUAUCCUAAAUCUGCGGGCAAAAAUGCGUCAUUUGUCGGCGAUGACGUCAGAAUAAGCCGGUGACUGAGGGGGAUUAUGUUAGCUUAUGCUAUGAGCAGUAGUACUAGGUUGGGACGUAUAUCAACAAUCCUAAGGAUGGAGACUACUGAGACGAACCCGCGCAAAGACUAUUUUCAGUAUGCCCACAAUGAUUCCUGCAAAUUCUCCCGCUGGACUGCUAAGGAAUGUUACCAGUAUAUGUCUGCUAGGCCGUGGCAAAAAGUGAAUGAUUUUUAUGCAGAAAUGGUGCAGGGACGCGUAUCAUUGUCAGAUUUGUUCAGAAAAGAGUUGCUGCAGACAUGUGCUGUGCAUGAUGAUACUGAAAUCAUAGAGGAUAUCCAUGAAAAUGACAUUGAUAGUGCUCCAGCAAAAGAUAGGACUGGGAGGUGGGCAAGAGUAACUUUCAAGGUACUCCUUUCAUACCACGGGGGUUCGUUUCAAGGCUGGCAGAAGCAACCUGGUUUGAAUACUGUACAAGGUAUAGUUGAAAGAUCUCUUGGAAAGUUUGUCGACGAGAAGAAAACUCAGCUGCUAAAUGAAAAGAACUUACCAAUUGAAGGCUGUGUUGUAGUAGCUGGGCGCACUGACAAGGGAGUUACAGCAUUUCAACAAGUUUGUUCUUUCUAUACUUGGCGAAAGGAUGUGAAACCUCAAGACAUUAAAAGCACCAUUAAUGAUGCAGCACCAGGGAAGAUCAAUGCUAUUUCUGUUACUGAGGUAUCACGUGAAUUUCAUCCAAAUUUCUCGGCCAAAUGGAGGCGCUACUUGUAUGUCUUUCCCUUCAAUGAUGGAAAAGAAGCUGAGCUCAGCAGUCAGGUUGAGAAGGAUUUGAAUGAACAUGAUUAUACCUUUACAUUAGAUAAUGGACUUCAUGAUUACAAGGAUCAAAUCGAAGCUGGAAAUAAGCCUACAAGGUUUGAAGUCAGCAAGGUUAACCAACUCUUAAGUCAAUUAGAAGGUAAGUUGCUGUCCUACAAGAUGUUUGCGCGAGACACUAAAGCCUCAAGGAACGUCUUGGAGCUCACUGCCAACACAGAAGUCCUAAGUGGCAGUUCGUUAAUAAGAGAUGCUGAGAUUGGCUGAUCCCCUUGCAGAGCUAUGUUGGUUAUUGCUGGCUUCAUUUUUGCAACUUUAACGAUAUUCACAUACUCACAUAGAAGAUACUGGGUAUCAGUAUAACUUGUUCAAUUUUGGUUUUGGGCAAGCAGUGAGCUGUAAUUCUGAAUAGUCUUCCUGGGAGAUGCAUCUGUUGGUUCUUAAAAGGCCUAUAUUUUGGCUAGUUUAGGAUGCAACAUCAUCUUACAUCCUCAUCCCCAACCCUCUCCCCCCCCCCCACCACAACCCAAAAAAACAAACAAAACAAAGAACCCCCAAAGAAAAGGAAAAUAAGUAUAUGCCGAAAGUUACAAUUGAUCAUCUCUCUUGUGUCAUUUUGUCCCCAUCAACUCCUUAUAGAUCCAAAAAUUUCCCAUUGGUUUGGUGCAAUUAUUUGUUUUUUAGAUAGACUGUUUGAAUCCCUGUCCCUAAUUUUCAAUUGCUGACACAUAAUUCUUUUGAAAAUUGUGUGUUCAUAAUCAUAUUCUUUUUACAUUUGAAGAACUACAUCUACAAAUGUGUUUGUGGGUUCAAAUUUUGAUUUGCAUGAUUGUGAAAAUAACAUUUUCGAUUUGACAGGCCUCAUAAGGUUCAUAGUUUCUGGAUAUGAUGUGAUUCAAAUUAGAAGUUGCUACUACAGGGAUAUAGAAUGUCAUUUUUCACCCAACAAGUUGUAUGCCAUCUGCUUUUUCAUUCUUCUAUUCUUUUGUUGCUAGCUGUUAUCUAGGCAAUGUGAAGCCAGUAAACUUUGCUCUUUCUUUGUCAAUUUUUUUGGCUAAUUAGAUGUUUUGGUGGCUGUAGUAUAAGUGAUUAAGACCUAAGAUCUUUACUUGUACAUUUUUUAGAACUAAUAAAUUCCAGCUGAUGCUUGAUUUAGGUUGCUUUCAUUCUGAGCAUUGUUAGAUGGAAAAUUUACCCCCCCCCCCCUGAAAGCAUUUUAUCAUAGAGCUUUGGCUUGUGCUUAUCUUUAUGUAUAUACCCAUUUAUAUCAAACAGUAAUGUAUCACCUGCAUUCAAGUGGAUUUUGAUCUUUAGAGUAAACAAUAACAAUUCAAAUUUACUGUUACAGAGUUUCUCUCUACUAGGUUUUGAAUCAAGAUUCAAGGCAGUUAUGAAGUUUGUCCUUACUUUAUGUGGGGGAACUAGUUUUUAUGCAAUCUGACAUAUGGUGUAGCAGCUUCUUAAUCUCCCUUUGCCUGUCUUCUAUUGACAUUGCAGUGGUCCCCCAACUGAGUGUUUUGUCUUCCAUGCCCGAGCGACGGAAGCAAUCUUACCAUGUACACAGGCUGGAAGUGAAACGAAGAUCAUGUGCAUAGAGUUGGUUGCUAAUCGCUUCUUGCGCAAGAUGGUGCGAGUUCUUGUUGCUACAGCGGUGAGAGAGGCUGCCGCUGGUGCUGAAGAGGAUGCACUACUGAAACUGAUGGAUGCCACAUGCAGGCGAGCAACUGCUCCACCAUCGCCUCCAGAUGG